UACGGAGGGUGCAAGCGUUGUUCGGAAUCACUGGGCGUAAAGGGCGUGUAGGCGGCCUGCUAAGUCUGAUGUGAAAGCCCGGGGCUCACCCCCGGAAGGGCAUUGGAUACUGGCAGGCUCGAGUCCCGGAGAGGAGGGUGGAAUUCCUGGUGUAGCGGUGAAAUGCGUAGAUAUCAGGAGGAACACCGGUGGCGAAGGCGGCCCUCUGGACGGUGACUGACGCUGAGACGCGAAAGCGUGGGGAGCAAACAGG
rnacentral:rRNA from 1 species